GCGAACUUGUUUGUCAUUAGCGGUGUCAAUUCUUCAAAAAAAUCGAUUUAUUUGCAUUGUUUAGAAGAAAAGACUGAAAAAGUGAGUUUUCCAGAGUUUUGUUGUAGUGUCUUCACACGAUUUGCAAGUGCGGUUUUAAGAAAAUUGCGCGAUUUUUCAAUUAGGCCACAAUCUGACGUUUGCUGUCAAGUGAAUAGGAUUUUGCGUUUGAACUUUUAGGACUUUCCUGGACCCUGCUGAAAAAUUCUGCCCCUAGAAAAGAACGUUUAGGAUACGGAAACUACGCUAAAAUUAGUGCAAAUUUGGCCUCUUAAUAGCGUUGAAAAUAACCCGUUUGUAGCUCAAGAUCCACAGAUUAAGGUGAAAAAUCAAUGGAGUCUAGGUGGUGUGUAUCAAAGAUACGUUUCGUUUAAUAAUAGCGCCUGGUCUCUUGAAACAAAAAAAAACAUUGUUAAAUACCCAUAAAACCUGCAACGGCUUACAAAAGACUAUAGAAUUGAAUGGAUGGGGCGAAAAUAGCAUGCCGGGCCUCGGAUCCAGACCACACCAAAACUCUCCACAUAACUCGUGCACUUAUCGCUUAGACGGAAAUAAAAGGAAACAAUUAAAGUGGGGACCGGCAAAUACGUCAGAUUGGAAGAUGAAUGUCGCACUAAAGCCGAAAUAAAAAGCAGAAUGAAACACAGAAGAAAAUAAACGAGAAACCCGUU